rnacentral:rRNA from 1 species
UACGUAGGUGGCAAGCGUUGUCCGGAUUUAUUGGGUUUAAAGGGUGCGUAGGCGGUCUAUUAAGUCAGUGCUGAAAUAUCCCGGCUUAACCGGGAGGGUGGCAUUGAUACUGAUGGACUUGAGUGCAGUCGAGGUAGGCGGAAUUGACGGUGUAGCGGUGAAAUGCUUAGAUAUCGUCAAGAACACCGAUAGUGAAAGACAGCUUACUAGACUGUAACUGACGCUGAGGCACGAAAGUGUGGGGGAUCAAAACAGG